GACGAACGCUGGCGGCGUGCCUAAUACAUGCAAGUAGAACGCUGAAGGAGGAGCUUGCUUCUCCGGAUGAGUUGCGAACGGGUGAGUAACGCGUAGGUAACCUGCCUGGUAGCGGGGGAUAACUAUUGGAAACGAUAGCUAAUACCGCAUAAUAUUAAUUAUUGCAUGAUAAUUGAUUGAAAGAUGCAACUGCAUCACUACCAGAUGGACCUGCGUUGUAUUAGCUAGUAGGUGAGGUAACGGCUCACCUAGGCGACGAUACAUAGCCGACCUGAGAGGGUGAUCGGCCACACUGGGACUGAGACACGGCCCAGACUCCUACGGGAGGCAGCAGUAGGGAAUCUUCGGCAAUGGACGAAAGUCUGACCGAGCAACGCCGCGUGAGUGAAGAAGGUUUUCGGAUCGUAAAGCUCUGUUGUAAGAGAAGAACGGGUGUGAGAGUGGAAAGUUCACACUGUGACGGUAUCUACCAGAAAGG
rnacentral:rRNA from 1 species